rnacentral:tRNA from 1 species
ACAAAUCGGUGGUUCAGUGGUAUAAUGCUCGCCUGCCACGAGGGCGGCCCGGGUUCGAUUCCCGGUCGAUGCA